AUGAACGCUGGCGGCGUGCCUAAUACAUGCAAGUCGAGCGAACAGACGAGGAGCUUGCUCCUCUGACGUUAGCGGCGGACGGGUGAGUAACACGUGGAUAACCUACCUAUAAGACUGGGAUAACUUCGGGAAACCGGAGCUAAUACCGGAUAAUAUAUUGAACCGCAUGGUUCAAUAGUGAAAGACGGUUUUGCUGUCACUUAUAGAUGGAUCCGCGCCGCAUUAGCUAGUUGGUAAGGUAACGGCUUACCAAGGCGACGAUGCGUAGCCGACCUGAGAGGGUGAUCGGCCACACUGGAACUGAGACACGGUCCAGACUCCUACGGGAGGCAGCAGUAGGGAAUCUUCCGCAAUGGGCGAAAGCCUGACGGAGCAACGCCGCGUGAGUGAUGAAGGUCUUCGGAUCGUAAAACUUUGUUAUUAGGGAAGAACAAAUGUGUAAGUAACUAUGCACGUCUUGACGGUACCUAAUCAGAAAGCCACGGCUAACUACGUG
rnacentral:rRNA from 1 species